GAUCGCGUAGCUCAGUUGGCAGAGCAUUGGGCUAGUAUUCCAAAAGUCGUAGGUUCGAUUCCCACCGUGGCCA